rnacentral:tRNA from 1 species
AGAUAAGAACUGAUUAAUCAUAGUUGAUUUCGACUCAACCUUAGAUAUUAAAAUAUCCUUAUUUU